rnacentral:rRNA from 1 species
CCUACGGGAGGCAGCAGUGAGGAAUAUUGGUCAAUGGGCGCGAGACUGAACCAGCCAAGUAGCGUGAAGGAUGACUGCCCUCCGGGUUGUAAACUUCUUUUAUAAAGGAAUAAAGUGAGGCACGUGUGCCUUUUUGUAUGUACUUUAUGAAUAAGGAUCGGCUAACUCCGUGCCAGCAGCCGCGGUAAUACGGAGGAUCCGAGCGUUAUCCGGAUUUAUUGGGUUUAAAGGGAGCGUAGAUGGGUUGUUAAGUCAGUUGUGAAAGUUUGCGGCUCAACCGUAAAAUUGCAAGUGAUACUGGCAGUCUUGAGUACAGGUGAGGUAGGCGGAAUUCGUGGUGUAGCGGUGAAAUGCUUAGAUAUCACGAAGAACUCCGAUUGCGAAGGCAGCUUACUAAACUGCCACUGACAUUGAUGCGCGAAAGUGUGGGUAUCAAACAGGAUUAGAUACCCUUGUAGUC